rnacentral:rRNA from 1 species
UAAUACCGCAUAUGCUCUACGGAGGAAAGCCGGGGAUCCGCAAGGACCUGGCGCUAUGGGAGCGGCCGAUGUCCGAUUAGCUAGUUGGUGAGGUAAAGGCUCACCAAGGCGACGAUCGGUAGCUGGUCUGAGAGGAUGAUCAGCCACACUGGGACUGAGACACGGCCCAGACUCCUACGGGAGGCAGCAGUGGGGAAUUUUGGACAAUGGGGGCAACCCUGAUCCAGCCAUGCCGCGUGCGGGAAGAAGGCCUUCGGGUUGUAAACCGCUUUUAGUCGGGAAGAAAAGGGCGAGGCUAAUACCUUCGUCACUUGACGGUACCGGCGGAAUAAGCACCGGCUAACUACGUGCCAGCAGCCGCGGUAAUACGUAGGGUGCGAGCGUUAAUCGGAAUUACUGGGCGUAAAGCGUGCGUAGGCGGUUCGUUAAGUUCGUUGUGAAAGCCCCGGGCUCAACCUGGGAACUGCAAUGGAAACUGGCGGGCUAGAGUAUGGCA